UUUUAUUGUCUAGACUACAUGUAAGCCAUUGCUAAUUAAUACUGCUCUUUCUGGUGACUUUGGAGCAAGCAAAGCAGGCAAACUCAAACAAACCAAUUAUAAAUGAUUUUUCAAUGUAAACUUUUAACAGUGUAGCCUAAGGGCUUGCUCAACAUAAAAGUGCAAUUUAGAAAACAUAAGUUUUAACUAAGGUCAGGAUAUAUGAGGCAAUGAUGGAUGUACAUGUAAAAACAUCUGACUGUGGAAUGACAACGUUUUCUUCAAGACUAAGCAAAAUGUUGGUGGCAGUGAUAAGCAGAAUGACAAACAGCCUUGAAUGAAGUGGCCAGAAGUUUUGGGGUUGGCAUCUGGGUUGCUGGUUUGUGGGUUUUUUUGAGUGUGUGUUGUUUUGGUUUUCAUCAGUUUUACAAAUCAGAGUUUCCUGGAUGCUGCAAGCAGUAGAGUCUAAGUUUUAGGCAUAUAUUCUACAGCAAGCCUAUAAGAAAGUGUCAAACUUCUAAACACCGUCUGCCGUCUUGGGUCUCAGGUAGAAAUUAAUUCUCUUUUCUUCUGUUCUCAGCUGCUAGAGCAGAGCCCCUUGGCUGUGGGAGUGUGCCACACAUGCCCCCCUGCCUGCGUGGGAUGCAGCACUCACUGCUGUCAUGGACACAGCUCAUCUGGCUCUGUUUGUCCAGCUACUGAAUGGAAAACAUCAUGGUCCCACGAUGCAAAGCACUGUUCCAGAAUAUCCCAACACCACAGGUUUAAGCUGGUUCACCAUUUUGGAGGAGUAGGCCUGAGGGAAAGUUCUCCAUUUGAAUAGGUGGUAGCCGACUAUUCCACACUGUCUGAAAGACUCUUCAUCCUAAUUGUCUGUCUCCCAACAGCCUGAGUGAAGCUGGCACAGGCUCACAUCAUGUGCUGUAUCUAAUUUGGUAGAAGCAGUCACAUGCCCAUAGUGCGCUCUGUAUCAGAUUUGUACAGCUGAGUCAUCUGGUAUCAAUUCUGGUGGAGCAAAGGCUCCAUAGCUGCAAACCCUCGCGUGUUCCUGCAGCUCCCGCUGCCGUCUUGUAAUCACUUAUCACAGUUGUGCUGUAGCCCUGGUCCUCUGUCCCUUCCCCAACUCACCCCACAACUCUUCUGUAGCUCAGGAAUAUUUUUCUGAGACACUUGUGUCACCUUGUCCAGGACUCAGCAGUCCAGUGAGUCACACAAGCUUUGUAAAUGAUCUCUGAACCUCCCACUCUUUGCUGCAGACAGCAUAAGAAAUCAGGGGUUAUCAAUGUAUCCUUCUCCUUCGGGAAGUCCAUAGCUUAGCCUCCCUUCACACGUGGUGUCUCCACAGCCUCUUGAAAAGAGGACAGAGAAUAUUGUUUCUUAUAAAGCUAUUUCCUUCUCUUUUCAGCUGAAAACUCUUGUCCUGGUCACCAACACACCACAGGCCAUGUCUGUGCCUGGCUCCUUCACUCACAGCGAGUAAGGAAAGGAAGCCAAAGGCAUAACCAUGGUUUCACAAAAUGUGCAUGGAGACCAUAAAUUGGAGAUGGGUCACCAGAUUAUCAGCCAAGCUCUGACUGAGUUUGUCAUUUUGUCCAAGCAAAAACUAAUUUUGCCAAUGAAGUAAAAGUCUAAUUAAUUUUAUUUUCAAUAAAAGCACUGCCGCCUUCUAUACCUAUUAGAAUUCCAGUCUUACUGACCAAAUAGUGUAUAUUCAUAGCUAUUGGUGAAACCUAAUGGAUGCUACUUGGAAAACAAAAAAUUACAGCUUAGUUGAAUUAGAACCAUUUAUAACAUCUGCAAUCAUACUUGUUUGUUCCCUCUUCUUAUGAGCAAAGUCAUUCCACUGGUGCGGUCUCCCCUCUUUAUUUCUUGUCAUCUAUAAUUACGUUGAAAGGAUUAAUAAUCAUGCAUUUUAUCCAGCGUCUCGGCUUGAUGACAGAGCAUUGUUUAAUGAGAGUACAAUCAGUGUCCUGGCUCUUUGGGAGAGCCAAGGCACUGCUCGCAGUGGAAAUCAUUGAAAAUAAACAUGUGGAAGCUUAAGCGCUCUUUAAUAACUCCUUUUGCUUAUUUGGUUAGCAAUUUUGAUGAUUUUGUCCGUUGUGCCUGGCUCUGCUGCUGCAGAGGCAUGGUUAUUUAUGGUGCCAGAGGAGGUUAUGAUCUCCUUAUAUAAACUACGGGACUGAGGUAGAAUAUAGUAAGUUCUGAGUCAUAGUAAGUGCUUUAGUUCUUCAGCUGUAAUGCCAUUAGAUCGAGAAUUGGCCGUUAGAUUGUAAUAGAAUUAGGAUACUGAUUAGGAUACUGAUGUGCCAAGUACCCAGAAAGCUAUGGAUUUGUUACAGAGGCACGCUUUGUCCUGUCUGUAGUUUUUAUUUCUACUUAGGUAUUUAGCUUAUAUUAGCUAAUGGCAAGAUGAUGUUACAAAGUGGCACUGCCCAUGCGUUGGAACCAAUUACUGGAUUAUUUCUUUCUCGGAGGUGCCAUGGGUUGAUGUACAGAGCUUGGGGCCAUAUGUGCUUGUUCUGAAAGAACGAUUUAAAAAGGUCUCUGCUGGGUAAGAUGCAGCCUGCUUGCAGCAUUGCAGUUCUCAAGUGUUACAAUUUUUGCAGUGCUCGCAAAGUUUUUUAGGGAGCGCUUUUCUGCCUUUUGUACCCCAGAGGUGUCCUGGACUGCUUGCCCUGCCAGGGAACAUGGACAAUUUUCAUAGGUCCUCUGAGAAGGGCUCAGUCUGAGCAGACAGCACUGGCUCAAAACCGACUUUUCCUGUUCUCUCCCUGACAGGAAUCUGGAGAAGCCUGGCCUUGCAGCGUGUGAUGGCUGCGGCAUUUCCUGUGCCACAGCUCAGCUGGGUCAGGGCAGAGAGGGAGAGUGUAAACUCCCAGCGUGCAGCUCCUGGCUGGCAGCAUCCUGUGCCUGCUGGAGGAUCAACACAGGGGGCAGAGCUUUGUCAUCAGUGAAGUCAAAGAUGAGGAUCGGUGGAUGGGACAGAGAUGGAUGGAAACUCAAAAUGUGAAGAAAUACCAAGAAACAAAUACCUAUGCCACCCCACAGGAGUCAUUAGUCCAUCACUGACCUCACGCUCUUUUAACAAGACUUGUUGACUCAAGAGUAGCCUAGAAGGGUUAGCUUAGGUUAGCUCUUCUUGCUUACACACACACACAGACACACUUGCACACCCCCACAGAAGCAAAAGGGUGCUUGAAAUCCAGGAAGCCCAGGAACAACUGGAGGCUGCAGCCAAGACCCAACCAUCCCCUACCCCAGUGCCAUCCCUGUUGUGCAAUGCUAGUUCAUUACAUCAGCAUACUUUUAGCCUGUCAACACCAACCCACAUCUCCUCAGCCCUGUUGUCCUGAUGACCUCUUGUCUUCCCUCUGCUUGGUCAUCUGUGCUGGGCUGGUACCUUAACCUCACUUUUCUCCUGCUCUGUGUUGGCGGUAUUUGUGUAACAUUUGUUCUGAGGUGCCUUGCAAGGAAAUGCCCUGCAGAAUGAAUUCCCUAUUGACCCUCUCAAUGGUUCUCGCUGCCAAAUCUGUUUGCUUUUACUUUCAGAACUGUCUGCAUCAAUGGUGAGUUCCUCAUUAUUUACAUAAAGUAUUGUUUUCAUCUUGCUGCCACAGACAGCAGCUCUGCUCUGGACUGGGUGAGAGGGAGUCCCUGAGAUGACUUCAUGGAGCAGUGCCAUUUCUGGGAACAGCAGGAUGUCCCAUCAGGAGCAUGCCCCUGCCCAAGGGGGAGGGCUGUGUGGCAAAGGAGUCAUGGCAGAGCUUGUCAGCAGCACUAUUGCUUAUUUCCUGUAAUCCACACAUGUGAGGGGCUAAAGUCUUGAGGACAAAAUUAGUGCAAAUUGAUGUUACCAAUAUAUUUGGACCAGGAGAUCUAACAGGUUUUUCAUCUUUGAGGAGAUAUAUCUCUCUGGAUGUUAUGCAGAGGGGGGCAUGUGGGCGGGCACAAUGACACUAGGCAAGACUGGGAGCAAUGACCAGUGAAAGCAAAUGCCAGACAACAGUUGUCUCUGCAGGAUGCAUCUGUGGAGAGCUGGGAAUUUCCCUCCUGGCUGCCCUGCCUGAGAUGAUAAGUUCUCCAGUACUCCACAGCAAAAAAAGUCCUGGGAAAAGCAGAACUAUUUCUUGUGAUAAAGGCUGGCUGCACGUUUUGGGAAGAUGAGCUUGUCAGGGAUGCUGCUGCACUCAGGCUGAACCUGUGGGAAGUGUGCCUGUUCCUAAUAAAUGUUGUGUGUAUUUA